rnacentral:rRNA from 1 species
AGAUUGAACGCUGGCGGCAUGCCUAACACAUGCAAGUCGAACGGGAGUAGCAAUACUCUAGUGGCGGACGGGUGAGGAAUACGUAGGAAUUUGCCCUUAAGUGGGGGAUAACCCGGGGAAACCCGGAUUAAUACCGCAUGACCUCGAAAGAGCAAAGUGGGGGAUCGCAAGACCUCACGCUUUUGGAGAAGCCUGCGUCGGAUUAGCUAGUUGGUGAGGUAAUGGCUCACCAAGGCGACGAUCCGUAACUGGUCUGAGAGGAUGAUCAGUCACACCGGAACUGAGACACGGUCCGGACUCCGUACGGGAGCAGCA